rnacentral:rRNA from 1 species
AGAGUUUGAUCCUGGCUCAGGAUGAACGCUGGCGGCGUGCCUAACACAUGCAAGUUGAGCGAUUUACUUCGGUAAAGAGCGGCGGACGGGUGAGUAACGCGUGGGUAACCUACCCUGUACACACGGAUAACAUACCGAAAGGUAUGCUAAUACGGGAUAAUAUAUUUGAGAGGCAUCUCUUGAAUAUCAAAGGUGAGCCAG